GAGGGUUGUAGCCCAGUGGUAGAGGAAUUGCUUUGCAUGCAGAAUGUCCUCGGUUCAAUCCCUGGCAUCUUCA